UGGGGAAUCUUCCGCAAUGGACGAAAGUCUGACGGAGCAACGCCGCGUGAGUGAAGAAGGUUUUCGGAUCGUAAAACCCUGUCUUUUGGGGCGAACGUGAGUAUGGUGAACAAUCAUAGUCAGUGACGGUACCAAAGGAGGAAGCCACGGCUAACUACGUGCCAGCAGCCGCGGUAAUACGUAGGUGGCAAGCGUUGUCCGGAAUUAUUGGGCGUAAAGAGCGCGUAGGCGGGAUAGUCAGUCUGUUGUAAAGUGCGGGGCUCAACCCCGUGAUCGCAAUGGAAACAGCUAUUCUUGAGUGCAGGAGAGGAAAGGUGGAAUUCCCAGUGUAGCGGUGAAAUGCGUAGAUAUUGGGAGGAACACCAGUGGCGAAGGCGACUUUCUGGACUGUGUCUGACGCUGAGGCGCGAAAGCCAGGGGGAGCGAACGGGAUUAGAUACCCCCGGUAGUCCUGGCCGUAAACGAUGGGUACUAGGUGUGGGAGGUAUCGACCCCCUUUCCGUGCCGGAGUUAACGCAAUAAGUACCCCGCCUGGGGAGUACGGUCGCAAGACUGAAACUUAAAUGAAUUGACGGGGGUCAUAGCUGUUUCCUG
rnacentral:rRNA from 1 species